AAUAUUGGACAAUGGGGGCAACCCUGAUCCAGCCAUGCCGCGUGUGUGAAGAAGGCUUUCGGGUUGUAAAGCACUUUCAGUGAGGAGGAAAUGCCUGGGGCGAAUAGCUUCGGGUUUUGACGUUACUCACAGAAGAAGCACCGGCUAACUCCGUGCCAGCAGCCGCGGUAAUACGGAGGGUGCAAGCGUUAAUCGGAAUUACUGGGCGUAAAGCGCGCGUAGGCGGUCUGGUCAGUUGGGUGUGAAAGCCCCGGGCUUAACCUGGGAACUGCAUUCAAUACUGCCAGACUGGAGUAUGGGAGAGGGUAGUGGAAUUCCACGUGUAGCGGUGAAAUGCGUAGAUAUGUGGAGGAACACCCGUGGCGAAGGCGACUGCCUGGCCCAAUACUGACGCUGAGGUGCGAAAGCGUGGGUAGCGAACAGGAUUAGAUACCCUGGUAGUCCACGCCGUA
rnacentral:rRNA from 1 species